AGUGAACGCUGGCGGCAGGCCUAACACAUGCAAGUCGAACGGCAGCACGGCAGUAGCAAUACUGUGGGUGGCGAGUGGCGGACGGGUGAGGAAUACAUCGGGAUCUACCCUGUUGUGGGGGGAUAACGUAGGGAAACUUACGCUAAUACCGCAUAAGAACUGAGGUUGAAAGCGGCGGACCGCAAGGCGUCGCGCGAUUGGAUGAACCGAUGUCCGAUUAGCUAGUUGGCGGGGUAAAGGCCCACCAAGGCGACGAUCGGUAGCUGGUCUGAGAGGACGACCAGCCACACUGGAACUGAGACACGGUCCAGACUCCUACGGGAGGCAGCAGUGGGGAAUAUUGGGACAAUGGGCGCAAGCCUGAUCCAGCCAUGCCGCGUGGGUGAAGAAGGCCUC
rnacentral:rRNA from 1 species